AUACGGAGGGGGCAAGCGUUGUUCGGAUUUACUGGGCGUAAAGCGCGCGUAGGCGGUCUGUUUAGUCAGGCGUGAAAUCCCUGGGCUCAACCCAGGAACUGCGUUUGAUACUGGCGGACUAGAGUUCGGGAGAGGAGAGUGGAAUUCCCAGUGUAGAGGUGAAAUUCGUAGAUAUUGGGAAGAACACCAGUGGCGAAGGCGGCUCUCUGGACCGAUACUGACGCUGAGGUGCGAAAGCUAGGGUAGCAAACAGGAUUAGAAACCCCAGUAGUCC
rnacentral:rRNA from 1 species